AUACGUAGGGGCCUGACGUUGUUCGGAAUCAUUGGGCGUAAAGGGCGCGCAGGCGGCCGUCCAAGUCCGGUGUUAAAUGGUCGGGCUCAACCCGAUCAUGCGCUGGAAACUGGGCGGCUUGAGUCCCGUAGGGGAUGCCGGAAUUCCAGGUGUAGGGGUGAAAUCUGUAGAUAUCUGGAAGAACACCGAUGGCGAAGGCAGGCAUCUGGCCGGAGACUGACGCUGAGGCGCGAAGGCGCGGGGAGCGAACAGGUUUAGAUACCCUGGUAGUCCGCGCAGUAAACGAUGCGCACCAGGUGUCGGGCGGCAGCGCCCGGUACCGGAGCUAACGCGAUGAGUGCGCCGCCUGGGGAGUAUGCCCGCAAGGGUGAAACUUAAAGGAAUUGACGGGG
rnacentral:rRNA from 1 species